GGAUGUGAGGGAGAGCUGGCUGUGACAUCUGUCACCCCAUUGAUCACCAAGGUUGAUUCAGCUGAUUUGGCUGGCUAGGCGGGUGUCCCUUUCCUCCCUCACAGCUCCAUGUGCAUCUGCGCUCGGUUGAAGAGGACGGCCUUCCCCGAAUAGAGACCAGUCUUCGGUUGAGGGUAUAUGAGUAGCUGCGCUCCCCUGCUAGAACCUCCAACCAAGCUCUCAAGGUCCAAAUAAUGAUGCUCUUAAGGAGAUGUGAAGGAUGAGGGCACAGCAGGUAGAGGCU
rnacentral:snRNA from 1 species